rnacentral:lncRNA from 10 species
GCUUCACAGACCUGCGGCAAAUUAAAGAAAAAGUUCUGUGUGAAAUAGCCUGAGAAAUGGCACUGUCCCAGGAGCUGACUGAGCUGGUCCCUGCCUAGGACAGGAAGUCAUCGUCUAAGUCUAGAAGGAACUGAAAGAAGACAAGGAGUUGUGCUGACUCUUGUAUCCACCUACAAAUGCCAAUUAAAAACUUCCCACAUCCACCCCUUUUAGUUGAGCUGUGUGGCCAUAAGUGUAGAGACUUACAACUGUACGUAGCCAUGAAUGAGACGGAUGAUCCACAGUCAUGUCACAGCUUCCAUUUCAAAUCUUUUAAAAUGGUGCCUCACCUCCGUGUUCUCUUCCCACCUCCCUGGCGCCGAUGAGAUAUCUUUCAUCCUGUAAAGAAAUUUGCUGGAAUAAAUUCCCUAGACCCAGAGAUGGAAGCCUCACAGCAUUUGUGGCAGAAGCAGCAGAAAUGCACCACACAUUUGAGUCCCUAGAUGGCCUUGUGGAGAAAUGUCUACCUGGCACCCCGGACUAUUAGGUAAGAGAGAAAAGCAUUCUAUUUUAUUUAUAAAUGUUGUGGAGUCUCUUCUGAAAAACCCUAAAUAAUACCUCCUAUAAAAGGUAGAAAAGAC